AGAAAAAGCUGCCAGUCGACGUCGCGACGUGACACGAUACACACACAAGACUCUCAUUAUUCUUUUACCCUCAAAAUAAUAACAAUAAAGUACACUCAAAAAAUUGCAACGUAUUCACAAUUACUUCUUUGUUGGCAAUCUCUAAACUCUUUGUUUUUUUUUUUUUUUUUGUUUCGUUAAAAAGACAGAAUAAAAAAAAUUAUAAGAGACUUUUAUUUAAUUUUUUUUAUUUAAAAUUUUACUUGCUUUUAUUAAAUUAAAAAAGUUAGUUUAUCUAUUGUGUCUACAUUGAUUAUCAACUUUAUCGAGAGAUAAACUGAGAUUUUAUUGUCAAUACAACGGUUUCAAUGAUACCACGAUUUUACGUUGUUCAAUUGGUUUAAUUUGAGUUUGGCAAUGCUAUUGAAGAAACCGAUAAUGAUGGUAUAGUAUGUAGAAAACACCUGGUAUAGAGUGCUAGAUGAAAUUCCCGUUGGCUUGUCUAUUAAAACUGCAGCCGGCGUCGAAUGUCAAAUGCGAUAUACGUGAGACGUUUACUUGAGUGGAUGGGCAGAACAGCGGACACGCUCGAAACGAGAAACGUGUGCAUAUCCUACUCAUUUUUACCCUUUAUUUUUUUCUUAAAAAAAAUAAAAAAUUAAAUAAUAACUAUAAAAAAAAAAAAAAAAAAA